AUUGAACGCUGGCGGCAGGCCUAACACAUGCAAGUCGAGCGGAUGACGGGAGCUUGCUCCUUGAUUCAGCGGCGGACGGGUGAGUAAUGCCUAGGAAUCUGCCUGGUAGUGGGGGACAACGUUUCGAAAGGAACGCUAAUACCGCAUACGUCCUACGGGAGAAAGCAGGGGACCUUCGGGCCUUGCGCUAUCAGAUGAGCCUAGGUCGGAUUAGCUAGUAGGUGAGGUAAUGGCUCACCUAGGCGACGAUCCGUAGCUGGUCUGAGAGGAUGGUCAGUCACACUGGAACUGAGACACGGUCCAGACUCCUACGGGAGGCAGCAGUGGGGAAUAUUGGACAAUGGGCGAAAGCCUGAUCCAGCCAUGCCGCGUGUGUGAAGAAGGUCUUCGGAUUGUAAAGCACUUUAAGUUGGGAGGAAGGGUUGUACGUUAAUACCGUGCAAUUUUGACGUUACCGACAGAAUAAGCACCGGCUAACUCUGUGCCAGCCGCCGCCGUAA
rnacentral:rRNA from 1 species